rnacentral:rRNA from 1 species
UAGGGAAUUGAAUACAAUGGGGGAAACCCUGAUCGAAAAAAGCCGCGUGAACGAAAAAGCAAUUAGGUGUAUAAAGUUAAAUUUAUUGGAAAAAUAAUUAAUUAGGUAAGUCAUUAGAAUGCAGUACGAUGAAAAGGUUGUUCGCC